GUCAGAGGCGAUGAAGGGCGUGCUAAUCUGCGAUAAGCGCCGGUAAGGUGAUAUGAACCGUUAUAACCGGCGAUACCCGAAUGGGGAAACCCAGUGUGACUCGUCACACUAUCAUUAACUGAAUCCAUAGGUUAAUGAGGCGAACCGGGGGAACUGAAACAUCUAAGUACCCCGAGGAAAAGAAAUCAACCGAGAUUCCCCCAGUAGCGGCGAGCGAACGGGGAGGAGCCCAGAGCCUGAAUCAGCAUGUGUGUUAGUGGAAGCGUCUGGAAAGGCGCGCGAUACAGGGUGACAGCCCCGUACACAAAAGCGCAUGUGCUGUGAGCUCGAUGAGUAGGGCGGGACACGUGGUAUCCUGUCUGAAUAUGGGGGGACCAUCCUCCAAGGCUAAAUACUCCUGACUGACCGAUAGUGAACCAGUACCGUGAGGGAAAGGCGAAAAGAACCCCGGCGAGGGGAGUGAAAAAGAACCUGAAACCGU
rnacentral:rRNA from 3 species